rnacentral:lncRNA from 1 species
GAAAAAGCAUUUUUCAAGGAACAUACAACCUAAAUAAGAACAACAUAACUGAUCAGGGAGAUUUAAAAAUGCUACUACCAUAUAAUGAAGAGAACAAACAAAAUGCGAAACAACCAUCCAGAAAUGUUCAACAAAGUUGUAGUCAGAUGAAGAAUCAAAGACAUUACUUACAAAAAGGUGCAGGACAUUUUGACAUUACAAAAAUACAACACGGGUUAAAACCAAGGAAACACGAACAUUAAUCCGAUUAGGUAAGAACACAUAUUAGAUUCUGCCAGAAAUCUAACCAGGCUAAGAAACCACCACGACAAAAAUCGAAUCGACAAACAAAAAAAAGAUUAAAAACGCAAGUAAAUAAAUGGAAUGACAUAACACAAAGCUAGUAUACUCAAAAUCACGAUUGAAUGAAUAGUAGACCAUUUUAAGCACUCUAGCGUAUAUCCCGCCCACUUAUGGAAUAAAAAUAAGCCAUGUCGAAACUAAGGAACGAACUUAGAAAAAGCAGUUCACUGCCUUUCUCACAAAACUCAACAUUUUUUAUUCCACAAUGAACAGAGAAAAGCUAAUAGGUAAAUAAAAUCAUUAUACCUCUUUCGGAGCAGUGAACUGGGACCAGGAAUUCGAGCGAAACCCCUACCACCACAAAGUCGGUUUAUGGACUGCAAACGAGAGACUCGGGCGGCAACUCGAACUUGAAGCGACUUAGGAGAACAACGACAAACAGGCUAGAAGAAUGAGGCCCCGAAAAUUUACUCUCCUCUCUUCUUCCUGAUGUAUUUCUAUGGAUUUUUAACUAUUUGCUUAAGCUAUUCUAUAUGCUUCUGUCAAAAAUUACCAACUAAAAAAAAUCUCCCC